AGUGAACGCUGGCGGUAGGCCUAACACAUGCAAGUCGAACGGCAGCACAGUAAGAGCUUGCUCUUACGGGUGGCGAGUGGCGGACGGGUGAGGAAUACAUCGGAAUCUACUUUUUCGUGGGGGAUAACGUAGGGAAACUUACGCUAAUACCGCAUACGACCUACGGGUGAAAGCAGGGGAUCUUCGGACCUUGCGCGAUUGAAUGAGCCGAUGUCGGAUUAGCUAGUUGGCGGGGUAAAGGCCCACCAAGGCAACGAUCCGUAGCUGGUCUGAGAGGAUGAUCAGCCACACUGGAACUGAGACACGGUCCAGACUCCUACGGGAGGCAGCAGUGGGGAAUAUUGGACAAUGGGCGCAAGCCUGACCCAGCAAUACCGCGUGAGUGAAGAAGGCCUUCGGGUUGUAAAGCCCUUUUGUUGGGAAAGAAAAGCAGCGGGUUAAUACCCCGCUGUUCUGACGGUACCCAAAGAAUAAGCACCGGCUAACUUCGUG
rnacentral:rRNA from 1 species